GACGUAGGGGGCAAGCGUUGUCCGGAAUUAUUGGGCGUAAAGAGCGUGUAGGCGGCUUGGCAAGUCGGGUGUGAAAGCCCCGGGCUCAACCUGGGAAUUGCGAUGGAGACUGCAAGGCUAGAAUCUGGCAGAGGGGGGUAGAAUUCCACGUGUAGCAGUGAAAUGCGUAGAGAUGUGGAGGAACACCGAUGGCGAAGGCAGCCCCCUGGGUCAAGAUUGACGCUCAUGCACGAAAGCGUGGGGAGCAAACAGG
rnacentral:rRNA from 1 species